CAGCCACGUCAGCUGAACUCGGAAGUCAGAAGUAUCAAUGCGCUUUACCUGAGCAUAAACUCUUGGCAUACCAUCAAGGUUAUCAUAAAGGGCCCAGAUUUGAUCAACUGCAAUCAGGUUUACAUCUCUGAUCUUGCCAAAGUCAAAAAAGUCAGGAUGAUUGUAGGCAAUCACAGGACUGCCAGGCUUCUGAGGAGCACUACCACUUGCUUCCUUGUAACUUUGCUGAUUGGCUUCAUGACUUGCAAUUACUCCAUCUUGGCUAUCCACUCUACUUAAGGCAUGAUGCUCAGCAGACUGAUUCUCAGCAACAGCAGCAUUGUCAUUAGACAUUUGCUCAGAAGCACUAGAUGGUAAGUCAUGGUUCCUUUGCCUCUUAUAAUUAGAGGAGCCGGUGCCGUGGCUGCAGUCUGUGCCAUCAUCUUGCUUUCUCUUACCUAAUCUCUGAAGGCUCGAGGACCUUGCAAUAUUUGGCACUAGAGAUGCAUCUUCAUUCUGUGUGGAAAUGAGGUUUGGAUCAGGAUGAGUUGAUCUCAAAUUGCUAACUGAUACCUUGUCUGCGGCAGGCACAGAAGAUUUAGCUUGGUUCAUUGCUGAAAACUGAACUACAUCGCUUCUUGUCUCUGAACGGUUACCUUCCUCAUCACCGCUUGCCCUGUCAUCCCUUUCUGUAUGUUCAUCAAUUCGAGCAACAUUCAUGGUAGGUUCCGAGUCAAUGUUCCCCCCUGUCUGGGCCUGCUGAUUGGUGACGCCAUGUUGUUGACAUGAAAUCUUCCCAGGUGAAACUUCAGCAUUAUUUGCUGAAUAAGAUAGGAAACUCGAGGGCGUUGUCUGCUCAUGCAGCUUGAAUGCAAAGAACAAUUUACCACAGUUAUCACAGAUGACCAAAAAGUUCUUUUUGUAGUACACAAAUCGCCUCCGNUGCCGCCUUUCUCUUCUGUGAGACGGAAUGACGGAAUUCGAUGAGAAAAUCUCAGGUUCUCUUUCCUCGGUAUUUUCAGUACUUCCUUGAUCGGGUCAGGCUUGAACACAGCGACAUAGCCAUCAACUUUAGUCAGGAAAGACAAUAAUGUGCUUCGUUUACUGCACUCGACGAUCUCCCCGAUAGCAUAAUGAGUGGUGUGCUUGUUGCUAGAAGGAACCCAAUCAGGUGACCAGUUCUUGUGGAUGGCCCAAACUUCAUCGACCUUCGGAUGAAUUUUAACCUGCCAGUUCAUAUUGAUUUGGCUAUUUUCUACCAAAUCGGAGAAGGAAUGGUUUCCACCAUACUUGUCUUCCCAGCUUCGUAUUUCAAAUUUGCCACAGCUCACAGGUACAUUCUGCCCCAACCAAAGCUUCUCCUGCGCCUGCUGAGGGCAGGCCUGGAGCCAGGUCAAAUGCACUUCGAACGGUUGUGUCUCAACUUUCCUCACCCAGCCAUACACAUUCGGGAAUGUGUCAGCAUCAUUGUAGAUAGCCCAAAUUUGGCCAUUUUCAAACUUCUCGCAUGACCGGUCUUCUUCGAAGUUGUGGAAUUCAGAUUCUGGAUAUGGAUAAGAAAUGAAUUCCGAAGACAUGUAAGAGCCGAGAGUACUGGAAGGAAAUGCUCUUUCCAGGUCACUUGGAAGAGCUGCUGUAUCCAGUUCCAGGAACCCUUCUGCAACGCCCACCCUUUCAUUUCCAUUUGUUCUAUAAAAGGGGAUGCAGUGAGAAAAUCUCAGUAGCUCACUUGAUGGUAUCAAAAAAAAGCAUUUGUCCUUAGCUUGUGCAAACAGACUAACGAAGCCUUCAAUCCUCAUUAGCGGCGAAACAAUGACAUCGCCACUCGUUGAGCCAUCAGAGAUAACUUCCACAAGAUCAUAUCCAUAGGAUCGACAGUUAUCUGCAUCAGAGAUCCAUUGCAUGCUCCAUCUUUUAUAAAGAGCCCAUACCUCACCCUUAUUAGGAUUUAUUUCAUAGGAGUUCCCAUUUUUGCCUUUUGUCAAUGGAACUCUGUGAGACAAGUAUAUGGAUGGAUCUUGUAAUAGGUUCGUUUCUCCUCCUAAGCAGAAGCUUCCACAAGAUACAGGCAACUCCUUAUUAUUCCAAUUGGCUUCUUGUUCAUUCCUUGGAUUGUACUCCAGCCACGUCAGCUGAACUCGGAAGUCAGAAGUAUCAAUGCGCUUUACCUGAGCAUAAACUCUUGGCAUACCAUCAAGGUUAUCAUAAAGGGCCCAGAUUUGAUCAACUGCAAUCAGGUUUACAUCUCUGAUCUUGCCAAAGUCAAAAAAGUCAGGAUGAUUGUAGGCAAUCACAGGACUGCCAGGCUUCUGAGGAGCACUACCACUUGCUUCCUUGUAACUUUGCUGAUUGGCUUCAUGACUUGCAAUUACUCCAUC
rnacentral:lncRNA from 1 species